AUUGAACGCUGGCGGCAGGCCUAACACAUGCAAGUCGAACGAGUGGCGGACGGGUGAGUAAUGUAUGGGAAUCUGCCUUAUGGAGGGGGAUAACUACUGGAAACGGUAGCUAAUACCGCGUACCAUAGGAUGAGCCCAUGUGGGAUUAGGUUGUUGGUAAGGUAACGGCUUACCAAGCCGACGAUCCCUAGCUGGUCUGAGAGGAUGAUCAGCCACACUGGGACUGAGACACGGCCCAGACUCCUACGGGAGGCAGCAGGGGGGAAUAUUGCACAAUGGGCGCAAGCCUGACGCAGCCAUGCCGCGUGAAUGAAGAAGGCCUUCGGGUUGUAAAGUACUUUCGGUAGCGAGGCGUUACCUACAGAAGAAGCACCGGCUAACUCCGUGCCAGCAGCCGCGGUAAUUC
rnacentral:rRNA from 1 species